rnacentral:rRNA from 1 species
AAAGACCUCGCGUCUGAAGAGGAGCCUGYAGCAUAUUAGCUAGUCGGUAAGGUAAUGGCUUACCAAGGCGAUGAUCUGUASCCGKCCUGAGAGGGCGGUCGGCCACACUGACACUGACAUACGGGUCAGACUCCUACWGUAGGCAGCAGUCGGUAAUUUUGGGCAAUGGKCGAAAGCCUGACCCAGCAACGCCGCGUGAAGGAUGAAAUCCUUCKKGAUGUAAACUUCGCAAGAACGGGAAGAAUAAACCGGUGUUAACACCACCGGCGAUGACKGUACUGUUUGUAAGCUCCGGCUAACUCCGUGCCARCAKCCUCNGUAAUACGGAGGGANCAAGCGUUGUUCGKAUUUACUGGCGUUAAGGGCGCGUAUGCGGCCACCKCAGUCGGUUGUGAAAUCUCCGGCUUAACCCGGA